AAACACUCAUCACUCACUGCAACACGCAUGCACACACUUGGUGGUUUUCAGCUUCUGGAGGACGGAAACGUACUUUUGUUUUUUUUCUUUUUUCUUUUUUCCUAGAACGGCAACCAGGUGCACUACGGGACUUGAACGCAACAAUCUACAGUACCUUUACAAAAGAAGACAAAAUAGCAGCUGCUCUUGUUAAGCACCUCAUUGCAUGGGUACCUAAUUAAGUGUCCGGUCAACCAAUCAUGUCCAGUCUACAAAAAAUGCCCCUGACAGUGACAAUGUGUGUGCUGCUCUUAGCCACACUAACCCCCAGCACGGAUGCCCGGCGUGGCGGAGGCUUCAGGGGGGGAAGGGGGGGCUGGGGUGGCAGGAGGCCAGCCUACAGACCGGCCCCUCCCAGGAGCAAUGGCCCCAGUGCCGGUAAAGUUGCCGGGGCUGCGGCGGCGGGGGCCAUCGGAGGAGCCAUGCUGGGCUCCGCCCUGAGUCGCCCCGGGUACGGGUAUGGCGGAGGCUACGGAGGGUAUGGGGGCUACGGAGGGUAUGGGGGCUAUGGAGGAGGUUAUGGCUACCCACGCUACGGCGGUGGCUACGGAGCCAGGCCUGCGUAUGAGCCAGAGGGCUCUGGAGAUUUGGAGUACUACACCGGAGCAUCCAGCGGGCCCAUCUACAACAGCAUCAUUGUUGUGAUCGGUUCUCUGCUCUCUCUGCUGCUCGUCAUGUGAAACCAGGCUGAGGGUAGCACAAAGACGCACCUACGACACGACCCUUGGAACUUUUAUUGGGCCUCAUCUGCACUGAAACCACCCUUGAGGACAAGAAGUUGACCCAGGAACUAGUCUGUACCAGCAGCCUGUUCACAAUGGUGGAUGUUACAGAAGGAGACUAAAUAUUACUUGCAACCUUAACUAGCUUUGAUUUACUACACAAUAUAAUAUUUGUAAGAAGCUACAACUUUUGUAUUAUUAUUAUUAUUAAUUUAAAAUUGUACAACCCAUCAAUAUAACCGCACACAACUGUGUCUCAUACACAUGAGUGGUUCUGAGUCAUUUUCUAUUUAUUUUGAGCAGUUUAUAUUCUUGUGUGCAGAUGACUAUAGGCAAGUGUUUUGCUUUAAGCAACCAAUCGGGAAACGGAAUAGUGCUGAUGUCAUCGAAGAAAUAGUGUUGAUGUCAUCGAAGAAGCCCAGCAAUGAGAAACGACACCAAAUAACCUGGAUAGAUUGUUUGGACGAAAAAGGUUCUAAUACACUUAAAAUUGUAAACGUAGUAGGAAGUGCUUGUUUAAGACAGCAACAGCAUCGACUGUGUAUCGACACCAGGUAAACAUGCACAACCUGAAGGCACCACAACAAGUAAUCCUGCUUUGACAACCAUUUUGUUCACUGUCAGAAGAGUUCCGAUCAAUCUCAGUCAAUCUUAUUUGCACAUGGUGUACGUAAUGAAAUAUCCGCUGACUGUAAAUGCAGUAAUUGAAUUAGAUGUUAUGGAAUGAACCCUCAGUAGAUCUCAGGAUUGGAGGACUGAAAUGUGUUUAUGACUUUCAGCUUUUGUUCAGCCAAUGCUAAUGACAAAUGUGCUUUAAUCUUGUAUAUAGUUACGCAGUUAAAGCCAAAUUACAAUAAAUGACUAAUGAUGUGUGUAAAAGUGAACGUGAACGUGUGAAAUGUGAAGACAAUCAUGGUAAAUGCUGAUUGUGGUUGUAUUGUUUUUUCCUCAAAGCCGAAGGAGUCCAAAAUGUAGGCUCAGGACCAAAUUUGAUAUGCCGAGGCUGUGUUGUUCAUGACUUUGCUGUCAAGUCACUCGUAGAAAAGCUCGACACUCUAAAAGGCAUUACCACUCUGUUCAAGAGCAUUUCUAUGACUACCGGUAAUUAUCGUUCGGGGGUUUAAAGAAUGCAGUGGUCUUUGUUACCAGCAGAGGGAGCCACAUAUUUGCUCAUUUUUUUGGUUGCCUUGUAAAAUGAUUCUUUCUUACACCUUCACUCGCGCUACUGGUUGAUUAAUUUAGAACCCCUUUGAAGUGGAUUCAUCCAUACAUUUCCUCUAGCACUUUUCCUUCUUAGAUUCAUGGGUGAAGUGACUUAGUGGAAGAGCUUCACCCUGGUCACCAAGAUAAUAAUCACAUCCACGCCUAUGGGUGAUCUCGACUGUUCAACGCAAACGUUCAUAUUUCAUUCAUUUUUCAAACAUUGUGAACAGUUUUAAUUAACUGCUUCAUCAAAAAAAAAAAGAUAGAUAAAUAAAUAAAUACAAUGAACUCUUAAAGCCCGUUUUCAUGCUGUGGCAUGUUUGUAUGUCCCUCAUCAGCAAAAUUUAAGUAUUAGGACAGAUUGUGAGACAAGAAAAAUGGUGACCAUAGAUAGCUGCUGCCUUUCAGAAGUGGAGAUGCCACAGGCAUAAAACUCCUGGGUGACAUGCGUUGUGUUUAUAAAAAUGAAAAAUCAAUGAUAUAGUUUCAGGAAAGGGAGUUCCAACAAGUCUUUCAUGAUUACUUUUCCAGCAAACCAAACAAGAUAUCUGCCGGAUGACGAGAUGGGUUAAACACUGAGGAAAUACUUGGAACUACAGAGGAGCAGAUAGGCCACAGUGGAUGCUAAAACUUGAGACGUGUUUAUCUGCAACAUGUUUGAACUUGGAUUCAAAGCGCCGUUAUCUGAAGAUCUUCUGAGUUCAACCCAAGAACUUUGUUCAGUCAUUGAAACCAAGUUCAGUUUUUCAUCAUUUAAGGAAAAAGAAAUUAUCCCCUCGUGGGUCCACCUCUGAGUUCUUCCAAUAUUCCAUAUAAAAUCUCAUUGUAUGCUAUACAAUUACAAUUAAGGCGAUUCUGUUUCUGAUUCUGAAAAAGUCCCCAAUCAACUUAUAAAUUAUAUUGUGAUAAAAUGAUCCCCAAAAUACACAAGUUUGUAAAUUGUAGUUUCAUUAUUAUUAUUAUUAUUAUUAUUAUUAUUAUUGUUAUUAUUAUAUGACAUAAUUUACAUUGUGUUUGCGAAACUUUUUAUCUGGCUUUCUUAAAAAAAUACAACUUUUUGUUCCAAAAUAUUUUGAAUUUUUCAGGAAAAAUGGAAAUCGUCAGUAAUAAUUUUCCAGGGUCAAACAUAAACACGCGUGUUACUCUAGUAUCACUUUUUAUUUUCUUCUAUUAAAGUGACAUCUACUAUUCUUGAAUGCCAUGCUGGUGUACCGUACCAUUGACGCCUAUAUUUAAACUUUUACAGUUAUUUGCUCAAUACAUGAGUGUCUAAAAAUACGUUUCAAAA